rnacentral:rRNA from 1 species
AAGUUAGCGGCGGACGGGUGAGUAACACGUGGGUAACCUGCCCAUAAGACUGGGAUAACUCCGGGAAACCGGGGCUAAUACCGGAUAACAUUUUGAACCGCAUGGUUCGAAAUUGAAAGGCGGCUUCGGCUGUCACUUAUGGAUGGACCCGCGUCGCAUUAGCUAGUUGGUGAGGUAACGGCUCACCAAGGCAACGAUGCGUAGCCGACCUGAGAGGGUGAUCGGCCACACUGGGACUGAGACACGGCCCAGACUCCUACGGGAGGCAGCAGUAGGGAAUCUUCCGCAAUGGACGAAAGUCUGACGGAGCAACGCCGCGUGAGUGAUGAAGGCUUUCGGGUCGUAAAACUCUGUUGUUAGGGAAGAACAAGUGCUAGUUGAAUAAGCUGGCACCUUGACGGUACCUAACCAGAAAGCCACGGCUAACUACGUGCCAGCAGCCGCGGUAAUACGUAGGUGGCAAGCGUUAUCCGGAAUUAUUGGGCGUAAAGCGCGCGCAGGUGGUUUCUUAAGUCUGAUGUG